rnacentral:rRNA from 1 species
UAAAGUCUAGGCAAUGCAUAUUGUUUAGAUCAAAGCAGGGGACCUUCGGGCCUUGCACUUGAGGAGAGGUCUAUAUCCUAUCAGCUAGUUGGUGAGGUAAAAGCUUACCAAGGCAACGACGGGUAGCCGGCCUGAGAGGGUGAAUGGCCACACGGGCACUGAGACACGGGCCCGACUCCUACGGGAGGCAGCAGGAAGGAAUAUUGGGCAAUGGGGGAAACCCUGACCCAGCGACACCGCGUGGAGGAAGAAGGCCUUCGGGUUGUAAACUCCUAACAAGUGUUAGAAAGGUGAUGUUGACUAACAAUCGAUAUCAUUCGAUAAAAGCGCUGGAUGAAGUCAUCGCUAACUCUGUGCCAGCAGCGGCGGUAAUACAGAGAUGGCAACCGUUGUUCGGAAUUACUGGGCUUAAAGAGUAUGUAGGCGGGAUAUUAAGUUAAUUGUGAAAGCCCUUGGCUUACCCAAGGAAAAGCAAAUAAUACUGAUGUCCUAGAGUGCGAGAGGGGAAAGUGGAACUUCUAGUGGAGCGGUGAAAUGCGUUGAUAUUAGAAGGAACGCCGGAGGCGAAAGCGACUUUCUGGUUCGCAACUGACGCUGAGAUACGAAAGCUAGGGGAGCAAACGGGAUUAGAUACCCCGGUAGUCCUAGCCGUAAACUAUGGGUACUAAGUAGGGGGCGAAAGUUCCCUGCCGGAGCAAAAGCAUUAAGUGCCCCGCCUGGGGAGUAUGGUCGCAAGGCUGAAACUCAAAGGAAUUGACGGGGGCUCGCACAAGCGGUGGAGCAUGUGGUUUAAUUCGACGCAACGCGUAGAACCUUACCUAGGCUUGACAUUGUAGAAUUAGGGUAGUGAAAGCUACUUGACACUCUUCGGAGCGGAACUAUGACAGGUGUUGCAUGGCUGUCGUCAGCUCGUGCCGUGAGGUGUUGGGUUAAGUCCUAUAACGAGCGAAACCUUUGUCCUUAGUUACCAACGUAAAGUCGGGGACUCUAGGGAGACUGCCCACGUUAAGUGGGAGGAAGGUGGAGACGACGUCAAGUCAUCAUGGCCUUUAUGCCUAGGGCUACACACGUGCUACAAUGGUCGGUACAAAGGGAAGCGAAGUCGCAAGGCGGAGCAAAUCUCAAAAAACCGAUCUCAGUUCAGAUUGAGGGCUGCAAUUCGCCCUCAUGAAGCCGGAAUCGCUAGUAAUCGUGGGUCAGCUACACCACGGUGAAUGUGUUCCCGAGCCUUGUACACACCGCCCAUCAAGCCACUGAAGCAGAGAUCUCCUGAAGUCGCUGACCUAACCGAAAGGGAGGAGGCGCCCAAGGAAAUGUUAUGUGACAGGGACUAAGUCGUAACAAGGUA